GACGAACGCUGGCGGCGUGCUUAACACAUGCAAGUCGAACGGUGAUGCUCCAGCUUGCUGGAGUGGAUCAGUGGCGAACGGGUGAGUAACACGUGAGCAACCUGCCCCAGACUCUGGAAUAAGCGCUGGAAACGGCGUCUAAUACUGGAUACGAAACUGGCCCGCAUGGGCAUGGUUUGGAAAGUUUUUCGGUUUGGGAUGGGCUCGCGGCCUAUCAGCUUGUUGGUGAGGUAAUGGCUCACCAAGGCGACGACGGGUAGCCGGCCUGAGAGGGCGACCGGCCACACUGGGACUGAGACACGGCCCAGACUCCUACGGGAGGCAGCAGUGGGGAAUAUUGCACAAUGGGCGAAAGCCUGAUGCAGCGACGCCGCGUGAGGGAUGACGGCCUUCGGGUGGGAAACCUCUUUCAGCAGGGAAGAAGCGAAAGGGACGGGACCUGCAGAAGAAGCACCGGCGAACUACGU
rnacentral:rRNA from 1 species